UACGUAUGGUGCAAGCGUUAUCCGGAUUUACUGGGUGUAAAGGGAGCGCAGGCGGCACGGCAAGCCUGAUGUGAAAGCCCGCGGCCCAACCGCGGGACUGCAUUGGGAACUACCGGGCUGGAGUGCCGGAGAGGUAGGCGGAAUUCCUAGUGUAGCGGUGAAAUGCGUAGAUAUUAGGAGGAACACCAGUGGCGAAGGCGGCCUACUGGACGGUGACUGACGCUGAGGCUCGAAAGCGAGGGGAGCAAACAGG
rnacentral:rRNA from 1 species